GUAGCAUUACUGGAAGACGUCGGCAGGUGCAGCGUCGGCUGCGUCGCCGCCCCCCCCCCCAACCGUGCCAAUCAUCACUAGAGCGAGUCUGAAAGGACGAUUGCUGCGCCCUUGCUGCUCCUCGCUGGGUGGAGCUGACGCUCUUUGCGAUGGAUCACGCGGCCACAUAAGUGCCCUCUCUUUCUCGUGCCCCCUCCCCAUCUGUAACGCAUGCAAUGAGGAAUGAAGGCGGCGCCGUCACCAAGGCGCUUGCACGCUCCCUCUACCGCCGAGUCCUCAAGCUCGUCUCCGUGGCGGAGCAGCCCCACACGCAGCGCAUUGUGCAGACACAGUGGGUUGAGUUUGUGCCCUCAGAGGUGUGGAUCGCCCCUGGCGACGAGCUGCGUCACAUUGUCCGCCGCUCCUUCGAGGCACCGUACACCCCAGCCGCGGUGGCGAACGCCUUCAACUUUCUUAAAGAAGCCCAAAACUCCCUCUUUUCGAUCCGGGUGCUGGCAGAGUGGGAGCGGCUGGAGGGGCAGGACCACUGGGACCUCUACGACGGCAUGGCGCUGAUGAGCGCCGCGCUUUACGGCGCGUGCGUCGGGAUCAACUUACACCAGUCCUUCGAGAGCUGCAUCAAGGACUACCAGGUGCGCAUUCGAUCCUACGUGCAGAGCAUAGCCAAGUCGGUGCAGGAGCGGAUAGAGGUGCGCUCACUCGAGGCGGGGCACGUGGAGGACCUCAACAGGUUUAUGAAGCUGGUGCGCGAGGCGAGCGCUCUCGAGCGGCGCGAAGCCAAGCCGGAGGAUUUCAGCCUCGUUUCGCUGCUGCAGAACCGCUGCGCCUCGGAGUACGUACUCAACAUCAUCGUCACCUUCGUACUGCGGGCCCUUGAUAUUCACAGCACCUUAGUAGGCGCCGACCUGUCUUUUCGGUGGGUACGGGUGAUGCCGCGCCACAACGCGUCCCCCAUCUUCGCGUCAUGGACCUACGGGGCCAUGCGGCGCCGGGAGGUCGAGCGACUCAUCCGCACCGCCGACACGCAUUGGUACCGCUCCGUCCCGUGGGACGCCUUGCAGCGAAAGAGUGUCGUUUGUGCUUUGCUGCGGCGUCAGCUGGGGUGUCUCCCAGCCUCCCCGGACACGAGCGCCAAGCAGAUCAAGUCCAGCUGCAAGAAGCAGCUCCUCUUUCUUCUCUCUCCUGACCCGUAGAAAGGAUAGAUGACGCCACCGCUUCUGCGGGCACGGAGGCGCGAGGGCAUCCCCUCUCUGUAUGCGCCAGGCCCGGCCGGCAUUUGUUUUGCAAACACCUCUCAGCAGCGAUGCUUGCACGAGCGUGUGCACGCAUCGCUGCUGCCCAAG
rnacentral:misc_RNA from 1 species